ACCGGCAAACGGGUGCGGAACACGUACACAACCUUCCUAUAAGUGGGGAAUAGCCCAGAGAAAUUUGGAUUAAUACCCCGUAACGUAACGAUGUGGCAUCACAUUGUUAUUAUAGCUUCGGCGCUUAUUGAUGGGUGUGCGGCUGAUUAGAUAGUUGGCGGGGUAACGGCCCACCAAGUCUACGAUCAGUAGCUGAUGUGAGAGCAUGAUCAGCCACACGGGCACUGAGACACGGGCCCGACUCCUACGGGAGGCAGCAGUAAGGAAUAUUGGUCAAUGGACGCAAGUCUGAACCAGCCAUGCCGCGUGAAGGAUUAAGGUCCUCUGGAUUGUAAACUUCUUUUAUCUGGGACGAAAAAAGGCUUUUCUAAGUCACUUGACGGUACCAGAUGAAUAAGCACCGGCUAACUCCGUGCCAGCAGCCGCGGUAAUACGGAGGGUGCAAGCGUUAUCCGGAUUCACUGGGUUUAAAGGGUGCGUAGGCGGGCAGGUAAGUCAGUGGUGAAAUCCUGGAGCUUAACUCCAGAACUGCCAUUGAUACUAUCUGUCUUGAAUAUUGUGGAGGUAAGCGGAAUAUGUCAUGUAGCGGUGAAAUGCUUAGAUAUGACAUAGAACACCUAUUGCGAAGGCAGCUUACUACGCAUAUAUUGACGCUGAGGCACGAAAGCGUGGGGAUCAAACAGGAUUAGAUACCCUGGUAGUCCACGCCCUAAACGAUGGAUACUCGACAUACGCG
rnacentral:rRNA from 1 species